CUAUGCGGAUUUUUAGAACAAUGGUUGUGGAUUAAGGAUUUCACAAAGCAAAUGUUGAGAGUAAUUCUGCAUCGGGAAAAUGAGAAAUAUUGUAUGUACUUAUAAGUAAUUAGAUUACUCUUCAUAAUGUCAAUUAAUUUUAGAAUAAUUCUCCCUUUAUUAUCUUGAAGUAUUGUGGUUUUUCACCUUUCAUACAUCAAGUUUUUUUGCUUCUCCAGAAUUUUACAAAUAUUUUUCUUUCCCUUCACUUUUGGGUGGUUAACAUGUCCAACAUGAAUUUUAGGAGGAAUUGCUUUACCUUUUUGGUUGGGCAGCUGUGAUUUGACCAAAAGAGGCAGCAAGCUUUUGUUCUUUUCAUUUGGCAUCUGGGUGGGAUGAACGACAAAUUGUUUUAUUUUUUUUCUUAAUUUUUAUUUUUUUUUUAAUUUACACAUGGGUCAAAUUGAUACAUGGCAUGCAAUUAUUAUCCACAUGAGUACUCACAGGUUAACAAAAGAUUUGAAGAAAAACUUAACAGAUGUACGAAAAUGUUUCAUAAUUUUCAU
rnacentral:lncRNA from 1 species